GAUGAACGCUGGCGGCGUGCCUAAUACAUGCAAGUCGAGCGAACAGACGAGGAGCUUGCUCCUCUGACGUUAGCGGCGGACGGGUGAGUAACACGUGGUUAACCUACCUAUAAGACUGGGAUAACUUCGGGAAACCGGAGCUAAUACCGGAUAAUAUAUUGAACCGCAUGGUUCAAUAGUGAAAGACGGUUUUGCUGUCACUUAUAGAUGGAUCCGCGCCGCAUUAGCUAGUUGGUAAGGUAACGGCUUACCAAGGCAACGAUGCGUAGCCGACCUGAGAGGGUGAUCGGCCACACUGGAACUGAGACACGGUCCAGACUCCUACGGGAGGCAGCAGUAGGGAAUCUUCCGCAAUGGGCGAAAGCCUGACGGAGCAACGCCGCGUGAGUGAUGAAGGUCUUCGGAUCGUAAAACUCUGUUAUUAGGGAAGAACAAAUGUGUAAGUAACUAUGCACGUCUUGACAGUACCUAAUCAGAAAGCCACGGCUAACUACGUG
rnacentral:rRNA from 1 species